CAGUCCCUGUGUUGACACAGGGGUGGGAAGGAGGAUUACCAAAUGGAUUACCAUUAGUGACUACACCCCAAAACGCAUCUUUUCUGGCAACUGCUUCUCUUUCCUGGUUCUAGGAUCUUCUUCUCAUCUCUUACUAUAUGAUGAUUCUUCCUCAACCCUGCCACCGGUCACCUGCAUUCCUUCAUCCUUUGUGGUUGAACAAGGAGCUUUAAAUGCAAUGCCUACUCCCAUAAAGGUUGGGAUCCUUCAGCUAGGCAAAGUCAAAGAAAUUUCCUGGCAGGUGGUUUCAAUAGCCAGUAGAACCCUGACAGAGAUGACAGAGUGCUUGGAUGGGGAGAGCCAGUGCUAUUUUGCAGAAGCCAAAGAAAGGGAGAACAAAGGGAGACCUACACCUUCUGAAUUACAGGAUCCUGAUUCUGAGUCAAGUAUCAGGAAAAGCUGACCGUUUAAGGAAAUAAAGGCACUUUUAAAAGUUUUCUUUAUGCAGGAUACAGCCUCUUUAAAUGCUAUUAAAAUUCCAGUUGUUCUUCCAAGUCUGUGUCCUUUUAAAAUUAUCAUUCUUGAGCAUCAUAGUGGCCUUCUGAAUCCAAGUAUCUUCAGACAUCCUCCCUAAAACCUGUAAGUUAAACAAGGGGCAGAAAUGAAACA
rnacentral:lncRNA from 1 species